rnacentral:rRNA from 1 species
GGACUACUGGGGUAUCUAAUCCUGUUUGCUCCCCACGCUUUCGCGUCUCAGCGUCAGCAACGGUCCAGAGGGCCGCCUUCGCCGCCGGUGUUCCUCCUGAUAUCUACGCAUUUCACCGCUACACCAGGAAUUCCACCCUCCUCUACCGCGCUCCAGCUCGCCAGUUUCGGGCGCACUUCCGGAGCUGAGCCCCGGGCUUUCACACCCGACUUAACGAACCGCCUACACGCCCUUUACGCCCAGUCAAUCCGAACAACGCUUGCACCCUCCGUCUUACCGCGGCUGCUGGCAC